rnacentral:rRNA from 1 species
GACGAACGCUGGCGGCGUGCUUAACACAUGCAAGUCGAACGGAAAGGCCCUGCUUUUGUGGGGUGCUCGAGUGGCGAACGGGUGAGUAACACGUGAGUAACCUGCCCUUGACUUUGGUAUAACUUCAGGAAACUGGGGCUAAUACCGGAUAGGAGCUCCUGCUGCAUGGUGGGGGUUGGAAAGUUUCGGCGGUUGGGGAUGGACUCGCGGCUUAUCAGCUUGUUGGUGGGGUAGUGGCUUACCAAGGCUUUGACGGGUAGCCGGCCUGAGAGGGUGACCGGCCACAGUGGGACAGAGAGACGGCCAAGACUCCUACGGGAGGAAGGAGUGGGGAAUAGUGCAAAAUGGGCGGAAGCCUGAUGCAGCAACGCCGCGUGCGGGAGGACGGCCUUCGGGUUGUAAAACGCUUUCGCCUGUGACGAAGCGUGAGUGACGGUAAUGGGUAAAGAAGCACCGGCUAACUACGU